AUCUAAAUAAAAUACCCAUAGCAGUUGUUUUAAGAUCGCAGCGAGGCCAGGCGGCUUUGCAUCUCUUGCAGUUCCUCACCCUCCUCAUCGUCCUGCUCAGCCUCGACGCGCGCAGCAGACGCAGACGCCUUGUCCGCCGGUGUAGCCUCUGGAGGCAGGGGAGCUUCCCCGAGCUUGCCAUCUGUGAUCUCCCACAAAACCUUGUCCACCUCCUUGCUUGCCUCCUCCUCCAGCUCCUCGGACUCCUCCAGCGAGUCCAUGGUCUCGUCUAGCAUCUCCUCAAUAAUGCCGGCCUUCAUCAUUUCCUUUGACAUGUCGCGCAUGAUGCCUGCAAGCUCUGGAUAGCGCACCAGGCUCUGCAUAGCUUGCAAGACCUCUGUAGACUUUUGCAGAGAUCCAGCUACACGCAAGGUGGCUGCAAGGAGGAUUCGAUAAUCAGGUCGUAUCAAACAAGCGAAGAGUUCACUCACAUAGCUGAUUUUUCAUCUGCAUCUGAAUGGAGUUGAGGUGCGCCUUCGACGUAUAUAUGCGGUUGAUGGCCUUUCGCGCAUUCACAAUCUCCUUGGCAAGAAUGACGCAGGUGUCGCGGUCAUUUUUCUGUGCUGCCUGUUUCAGCGAGCGUUUUACUUUCUCUUCCUCGCGCUGGAUACUUCGGAUCUGGCGAUCCAGCUGGUUGCCCUCUUUCCGUAUCUUAUGCGUCCACUCCUGCACCUAAUGGGAAUUUACAUUUCAAAACAAUAUUCAUAACGCACAAUGGACAGAUGGGGAAAGGUCUAAUAAAAUCAAUCCAACUGGAAUGACAUCAUUCCCAAAAAAAUCACUGCCACGCCUCUGCGUCGUUACCUGCUCUUUGGGAUCUUUACUGGGAGUUCUGCCGAAUAAGCCCAUGGCACUAACUGUUAUGAUAAUUGUCUGGAAUUGUUAUU
ensembl:ncRNA asRNA:CR46140 antisense RNA:CR46140